rnacentral:rRNA from 1 species
GACGAACGCUGGCGGCGUGCUUAACACAUGCAAGUCGAACGGAAAGGCCCUGCUUUUGUGGGGUGCUCGAGUGGCGAACGGGUGAGUAACACGUGAGUAACCUGCCCUUGACUUUGGGAUAACUUCAGGAAACUGGGGCUAAUACCGGAUAGGAGCUCCUGCUGCAUGGUGGGGGUUGGAAAGUUUCGGCGGUUGGGGAUGGACUCGCGGCUUAUCAGCUUGUUGGUGGGGUAGUGGCUUACCAAGGCUUUGACGGGUAGCCGGCCUGAGAGGGUGACCGGCCACAUUGGGACUGAGAUACGGCCCAGACUCCUACGGGAGGCAGCAGGGGGGAAUAUUGCACAAUGGGCGGAAGCCUGAUGCAGCAGCGCCGCGUGCGGGAUGACGGCCUUCGGGUUGUAAACCGAUUUCGCCUGUGACGAAGCGGGAGUGACGGUAAUGGAUAAAAAAGCACCGGCUAACUACGUG